ACUCCGUACGGGAGGCAGCAGGUGGGGAAUCUUGCGCAAUGGGCGAAAGCCUGACGCAGCCAUGCCGCGUGAAUGAUGAAGGUCUUAGGAUUGUAAAAUUCUUUCACCGGGGACGAUAAUGACGGUACCCGGAGAAGAAGCCCCGGCUAACUUCGUGCCAGCAGCCGCGGUAAUACGAAGGGGGCUAGCGUUGCUUGGAAUUACUGGGGCGUAAAGGGGAGCGUAGGCGGACAUUUAAGUCAGGGGUGAAAUCCCGGGGCUCAACCUCGGAAUUGCCUUUUGAUACUGGAUGUCUUGAGUGUGAGAGAGGUAUGUGGAACUCCGAGUGUAGAGGUGAAAUUCGUAGAUAUUCGGAAGAACACCAGUGGCGAAGGCGACAUACUGGCUCA
rnacentral:rRNA from 1 species